GUCAGACAAUAAUGCAAUUAUAUAAAUAAUCGUUGAACGUUUGCGAGUAUAUAAAUCGCGAGAAAAUUCUAUUUAACAUCAAUUUCAAUUUUCGUUUUAACGAAGAAAACAGAAUUAAGCAGUAAUAAGAAAAGAUGAAACUUCACACUCUUUUGCUAUUGUGCAUUACACUUUUCGUCACGACCUUCAAUGUCCAAGCAUGUAAAUAUGAAAAAGAAUCUUGUAGUUUACAGCAUACCUGCUGUCCUGGAUUACGAUGCGAUACUGAAAAAUGCAUUCGCUAUUGAACUACUGUUAAGUAUACCUUUGAUUCUAAUUAGAGUAUAUACGCUGUGAAUUAGUGAAAUUUAACUGAUUUAUUAGCGUAUAUACACUUUUUGAAAUUAGUGCUAUACUUAUUUUAAUUCUAAAUAGCAAUACUUGAUGUAAAUUAAAAUUGCAUCAAUUUUUUCUAAUCAAAUUUUUUUACUGUGUAAAUCCAUUGCUUCAAAUAAUA